AUUAAGUACGCAAAUAAUCACUGUAAAAACGUCGCAAAGGUAAUGGUUUAUCAACGUUAGACAUUAGCUGCUUUUUCAACGAAUUUAAACUAUUUGAAAAACAAGACUUAUUCAACAUUAUUUCAACGUUGGUUGAAAAUGUGCUAAUUAAAAAACGUUGAAAAAGUGUUACUUUGCCAACGUUAAUAAAACGUUGUUUUGACAAUGUUGAGGAAGUAGCACAUUGAAAAUUAUUGUCUCAAUAACUAGCCAUUACAAAAAUAAUUUGCCGUAAUGGAAAGGCAAGGAAAACUUGAUAGAAUGCAUGCAUAUGAUAAAGAAGUAUCUGCAGGAUUUAAUUUCGCGACUAAAGAGGACUCCGAAGAAGAAUUAAAGUUCUGAUGGAUAAAAGAUCGAGGAAUGAUUUGGUUUAAACUGGUUUGCAUCUUAUGAAUGAAGUACAUAAUAUGAUUUAAAUUGAUGAUUUAUAGUUACACCUAUUGA